rnacentral:rRNA from 1 species
GAUGAACGCUAGCGGCAGGCUUAAUACAUGCAAGUCGAGGGGCAGCACAGGUAGCAAUACUGGGUGGCGACCGGCAAACGGGUGCGGAACACGUACACAACUUACCUUAGAGUGGGGGAUAGCCCAGGGAAACUUGGAUUAAUACCCCAUAAAACAGGGGGCCCGCAUGGGCAUAUUGUUAAAGAUUUAUCGCUUUAAGAUGGGUGUGCGUAUGAUUAGGUAGUUGGUAGGGUAAAGGCCUACCAAGCCGACGAUCAUUAACUGGUGUGAGAGCACGACCAGUCACACGGGCACUGAGACACGGGCCCGACUCCUACGGGAGGCAGCAGUAAGGAAUAUUGGUCAAUGGACGGAAGUCUGAACCAGCCAUGCCGCGUGAAGGAUGAAGGUCCUCUGGAUUGUAAACUUCUUUUAUAGGGGGCGAAAAAGGGCCAUUCUUGGUCAACUGACGGUACCCUAUGAAUAAGCACCGGCUAACUCCGUGCCAGCAGCCGCCGCCG